rnacentral:rRNA from 1 species
UGGGGAAUAUUGCACAAUGGGCGCAAGCCUGAUGCAGCGACGCCGCGUGAGGGAUGACGGCCUUCGGGUUGUAAACCUCUUUCGGCAGGGACGAAGCUUCGGUGACGGUACCUGCAGAAGAAGCACCGGCUAACUACGUGCCAGCAGCCGCGGUAAUACGUAGGGUGCGAGCGUUGUCCGGAAUUAUUGGGCGUAAAGAGCUCGUAGGCGGUUUGUUGCGUCGGCCGUGAAAACUGGAGGCUUAACUUCCAGCUUGCGGUCGAUACGGGCAGACUUGAGUUCGGUAGGGGAGACUGGAAUUCCUGGUGUAGCGGUGAAAUGCGCAGAUAUCAGGAGGAACACCGGUGGCGAAGGCGGGUCUCUGGGUCGAUACUGACGCUGAGGAGCGAAAGCGUGGGGAGCGAACAG